UCGGGGGUAGACGUCAGUGCCUGGAUGUGAUUGGUUGUUAAGAGGCGGGGCGACUUGACCGAUAGAGAGGUGGCAGGCGCCACGCAGAGAGCCAUGGGUCAGGCGGCCAAGGUUUUACAGCUCUUUAAAACACUGCACAGGACCAGACAGCAAGUUUUUAAGAAUGAUGCCAGAGCUUUAGAAGCAGCCAGAAUAAAGAUUAAUGAAGAAUUCAAAAGUCAUAAAAGCGAGGCUUCUCCUAAGAAAAUAGAAGAGCUCAUGAAAAUAGGUUCCGACGUUGAACUGUUACUCAGAACAUCUGUCAUACAGGGCAUUCACACCGACCACAACACACUGCGCUCUUGCCAAGUUGCUGGCCUGGGCUUAAACUAUUCCUCCUGCCUCACCCUCCCAGAAUAUUGGGGUUACAGGCGUGUGCCACAACACCUGGCCACGACGACCUGAUGGCAGCAGAAGAGAAGCAGCGUUCCUUGUGGUCAAGGAUCACACGCUGAGUGUGAGGAUCACACACUGGAAUUGGUCCCUAGGAAAGACCUUCUUGUAGAAAAUGUGCCAUAUUGUGAUGUACCAACUCAGAAGCAGUGAAUGUUUUAAGCUAAGACAAGUCUUCGCACUUUUUAAUUUUAGAAAUGGAACUCUCGCAAAAGUCCUGAAAUGCAGAUGCUUCUCUGAACUGGCAUACUGGGCGUGAGUGACUGAGACAAUAAGUGUCGUGGUUAAAUUUUACACUAAAAGAACAUCGCGGUGAAGGGGUGAAGGUUAAGCGUUGUUAACAACAAGUGAAACAAUUCUUUCUCAUUGAAACCCUAGCUUUAUAAAGUGAGGAAGUGCUCGGGGUGCAGCAUGCUGCCUUCUCUAAGGUCUGGAUACGUGUUCUGUCCUUUUUAGCUGUUUGGGAGCAGUGUGUGACAGGGUGGUGAGUUUUCUUCCCAUGGAAAAUGCAGUUAUUAGAUUAAACUGAAAUUUAGCCUCUAAAACAUUAAAUGGUUAGAAAAUCAUAGUGUAUGCUAGCUCUCCACAAAACAUCUGUUGUUUGCUAAAACAGGAAUUAUUUCUGUAGCUUGUGAAUAAUUACAGUUUCCUUUUAGAGAUAGAGCAUGUCUCUGUGUUCUUAUGAAGGUAUAUAUAUUUCCUUUUUUUCUCUCUUCCUCUUGGUACUGGGAAUCCACUUUUGGACCUUGUGUUUGCCAGGCAGGUGCUGCACAGCCGAGGUGCAUCCCUGAUCCAUGAGCUCUCCCUGGCCUGAUAUUUCUAAUCAGUCUUCUGAAAAUAGGUCAAUAAAAUAGAACCACCUAGAUUCACAAUGGAAUAAAGAAAUCUUAAUUUUUUUAGGAAACUGUGGCCUUUGAUCAGUUAUGAUGGCCUUAGUAGACUUGGCUGUAUCUAGACCAGUUAGAGUUUAUUGUGAAAAGGUAAGGGAUGUAUGGUGGCACACACAUCAUCCCAGCGCUCGGGAGGCUGAGAAGGAGGAUCUUUGAGAGUUUGAGGCCAGCCUGAACUGCAUAGAGACACCCUGUCUCAAAAAGACAAAAAGUAAAGGAUAGCUUCAUUCUCUUCAAGUUAGUCAAUGAAAUUUAAAUGGCUUCUACAUGUCUGUUCUCCAGUGAAAUUGGCAGUGUUAUGAAAAGGCUCGACGUUGGCUCCUCUACUGAUAGGAGAUAUGAGUUAUACAUGAUAUUCUUCUUCCUCUUUGUCUGUGUAUCUUUACCACUCCGCUUGCUCAUAAAUAGUAUGUUGUUCCAUUCACUUAGGAGUUUUCUGUAUUUGAUGAUGAUACAGUGUUUCCAAGUUUUGCAAGAUUUUCAGUGUAAGCUUUGUGAAUUUGUCUGUUGGCAAAGCACCUUGGUAUAGCCACACUGGAUAUAAAAUGUCACGUCUGAAAAUGGUUUUAGCAGGUCCAAAUAUGAUCAGAAUCACUCAGAGCUAGUACAUUUAUCAUUAGACAGAAGGCUAACCUUCAUGUCUCCUGAUCACUUUUAAGGAGAUCAGUUCCUGUUCUGUGAAGUGCAGUACACAUGUCCAGCAGAGAUUUCUCUAAAUACUUCUUCAUCUCCUGUGUAUAUAGUUUCUUGCUAUGUAUAUAGAAAUCAUACCCAGAGGAAAAUGAAAGUUGUCGCAGAUUUUAAAUUAACACUUUGGAGAAUGCUAAGACUUAUCACAGCAUAGUCCCUACAUAGAUAGAACUGUGUUGUUGUUUUUUUUUUUUUUAGACAGAGCCUUGCUGUGUAGAUCAGGCUGCUGGCCUGGACUCACUGUGUAGCCCAGGUCCCAGGCUGGCCUUGAACUUGAAGGGACCCUCCUAAGUGCUGGGAUUAUAGGCAUGGUGACACACGCCUGGCAUCACAUGUAUAUUUUAUUAGAGCUUAUGAGUUAGAGAUUUUCCAUGAGAUAUGCAGGUAGAGAUAGAUAAACAAAGGCCACAUUGUGUUUUCAUGCCUUCAAGUUACGCAGUAGGUUUCUGCGAAGAACAGUAGACCUGUCACAAAAUUUUGGAAAAUGUGGUACCCUUUCCUCAUACAGCCUAUAUGCGUAUUUCAGAUGACUUCUAAUUAGUUAUUUUAUGAUGUAACCAGAAAAGUCAUUUUUUGAAUUCUUGGCAUUUUGCAAAAUGACAGUUGAGAGUUGAUAUUCUAGAGCAUAAGCUACUGCAGCUAUCCAGGGCUUAUUUUGAGCAUGACAGUAAACUAGAUACCUAACUUCUCUUGUUCAGUGCCAGCAUUUAACUAAACCUUUUAGUUAAAAAAAACAAACAGUUGUUCAUAUUCCCAUAGGAGUUACCCAAAUCGAACGUUCCAUUUAACUGUUGGAUCCAGUGAAAGUUGGGUGUACGCAUUGUUACCACUGCAGAUUCCUGCUCAGAGGCCCGCAGACUGUGUAAAAGUCUUCCAGCCCAGGUUAGACGUCUGUCUGUGUGACCAAGCACUGGGUCUGGCAAGGAUAUGGAAGGAAGAGACCGCACUGAGUGUGUGAAUGGGGGGAAGUGACAGACACUGCAGCUUGCUGUGUCUAAGUGAGCACCUUUAGGCUGAAAUUUGAGUUAGUCAGACUUUGAACUGGUUCUUAUUUCACCCACAAUUGCAACUCUCAACAUCAGUACAGUUCAAGAUAUGGUAGAAUUUCUGUAUUCAUUGACAAGGCAAAUGAUUUUAUUCUUUUAUUAUAAAAACAUUUAAAACAAUGAUACAGAAUUUCAAAACAAAAUUAAGAUUUUAUUUUUAAGGCAAAUAAAUUUAACAGUACCACAAAGCCACAGGCCAACAAAUAGAAAGUGGCACGUUCUUGUAAUCUCAGCUACUGGUGAGGAGAUGGGGCGGGAGAACCAAAAGUUGAGGCCAGCCUGGGCAACUUAGUGAGCUCCUGUGUCAAAAUAAAACCAAGUUCCCAGCACUUGGGAGGCGGAGCAGGAGGAGCACUGAGUUUGAAGCCAGCCUGGGUUACGAAGUGAGUUGAAGGCCAAUCUGAACUGCAUAGCAAGGCUAACUCAAAAAAAAAGACUUAAAAAAAUAAAUAAGCAAACAGGAAAAGGGCCAGACAUGUGGCUCAGUGGUAGACCACUUGCCAAGCAUACACAAGCCUUAGGUUCAGUCCCCGUCACGGGGAGGAAAAGAAUCUCUUGACACUGCAGCCAGCGUGGGUACAUAGUGAGUUCAGGCCCAGCCAGAACUGCAAAGUGAGUCUGUCUCAAAAAACAAAACAAGAAAAAUAAACAACCAAAUUUAAUCUAUUGAAACCCGGUGAUUAAUAUUCCUGCAUAAAAAAUAAUGUGUUUUGUGAAAAACCACUAUAUAUGAAGUGUAGAGAAAAUUACUUGCCUCUAAUGUAAUUAUUAAAAUAGUUAAGAUAUAAGGUGCUUCUGUGAAUCAGUUAAUAAAACAACUCAGUGGAAAAUGGGAAAAUUAUAUGCUUUAAGAAAUUCACAGAAGAGUUACUAACCUCUCGUGGUCAGAGAAAUGUAAAUUAAAAAGAUACUUUCAUUCAAACUGUUACAAAUACAAAUUAUUGUAUUCAAUAAUUUGUAAAGGUUGAAAUGUCAGUUUUUAAAGAAAUAGAAAUUACAAGGCUAUUUGGAAAGGAAAAUUAACUAUCAAAAUUUUAAAAAUGUAUAUUCAGUCCAUUUCUCAGCUCAAAAGUAUACUACUUUUGUGUACUGAAAUGUAUGUUCAGAAGUUUCUGUAACAUUGUAAUUUUUAAAAAUGAAAAACAGCUGGGUAUGGUGGCAUGACUGUAAUCUCAGCCCUCAGGAAACUGAAGCAGGAGAAUUGUUGCAAGUUUUGAGGCCAUCCAGGGAUACACAGUGAGACUGUUCAUCCAGAAAUUAAAACAAAAUAAGAUAAAAUAAAUACAGCCUGUUUCCAAAUGUAAGGGGAGUAAUUAAAAUGUAGUUCAUCUGCAUCUUGGGUAUUAUACAGAUACUGAAAAGAGUGAUUUUCUAAGUACAGGCUUUCAAGUGGAGGAAGCUGGUCACAGUAUGGGUUCACUCCACCCACAGGUACAGAGCUGCUCAUGUAUGUGUCUGAAUGUGUACAUACAGGUGCACAGAAGUGGCACACGCUGAGUGCUAGCCUUUAGUUAGGGAGGAAAAUGAGAUCAGAGGAGGAAGUGUGAGCUGAGGGCUUGUGUUCUCAUUCACUUUCUAUUUAAAUAAAUGUCAUUCACAGCCCUGAGCAUUAGCUUUGUGGUGCGUCACUGGACUAGCAUGCAUGAGGGCCAGGGUUUAAACCCAGCACCACAAAAUACAAGUAGACACAUACCUACUGUUUUUAGUGAGUGUAUCAACAUACAGGUUUAAAGGAUGAUUUCUAAGCUGCUAGUGAUUUUUAAUUUAAAAUUGAUAAUCAAAUAUUAGCAAAUAAUAUGAUACUCAUGAAUUCUCACAUGUUACAUUUCCUACAUUUCUUUCAAGACCUUUUUUGUUUUUUGUUUUUUGUUUUUAAUCAGUACCGGGGAUUGAACUCGCGACUGCACACUUGUAAGGCAGGCGCUUAUGCCGUUGAGCUAAAUCCCCAGCCCUGUUUUGUUUUUUGAGACAGGGUUUCACUAUAUAAUUCAGGCUGACUUUGAACUCACUAUAUAGUGCAGGCUGACUUUGAACUCACUAUAUAGUGCAGGCUGCUUUGAACUUGCUGUGAUCCUUCUGCCUCAGCCUCCUGAGUGCUGGGAUUAUAGGAAUGUGCCACCAUGCCUGGCUUUAAAGAUAUUUCUAAAAAGUCGUAAUUUUUUUCUUUCGGUGGCACUGGGCAUCAAACCUACAACCCCACACAUGCUAGGCAAGAGUUACACUGAGCUGUACUUUCAGCCCGCAUCAUAAAAUCUUUUUUUUUUUUUUUUUGGUACUGGGGAUCAAACUCACAACUUUAUGCUUGCCAGGUGGGUGCUUAUGCCAAUAAAAUCUUACAAAUCUAAAGACUAGCCCUCCUUUUCUCCUCUAGAGGGAUCAUCAUUGUUUGCAAUUUGUGCAUUUCAUUCACAUACAUGUUUUUUACUUUUAUCAAACACUUAUGUUUUUAAAAAUCUUCUUUUGUGGUCUUAAAAUGUACAAGAGCAGUAUGAUACCUUAUGUAUUAUUCUGCAGUUCACAAUAGAUUUUGAGGAUUUACCUGUAUUGUUGCAUGAACAGCUAUUCUAUUGUAAGAAUAAAUUGAUUUGUUUGUACAUGUCUCUAUUAUAGUGGGUUUUUUUCCCUGUAUUAUGAGCCUGUUUGCAAAAAAUCUUCAACAGAGCCUGCUUGCUGGCACACGCCUCUAAUCCCAGCACUUUGCAAGGCUGAGGUAGGAGAAUUUUAAGUUCGAGCUCAUCCUGGCGACUGCAUGAUUUAAUAUAGUCCAGGUUUAGCAGGGAAACGAUUUAAUACAGGAUACAUAAUUUAUAAGGUUAUUGUAAAAUAUUCUUCCAAAGAGCCAAAUGUAAAAGAGUGCAGGAAAUCUGUCCACAGCACUGAGACCCAGAGAAUCCAGUAGGGGACCUGGAGCCCAUGACAGUGUCCUGCCCAAGUCCAGCUGAAGACCUAGAGCCCACAACGAUGUCCCAUGCAAGUCUGUAUCAAGGAUCUGCACUGCAAAGGCCCAAGGGUCCCGGUGGAAGCUAGAAAAACUGCGCCAGCGGGAGGAUCUGUGCAGCAGCUGAGGGGGCUGCGGUGUAGCCGGGAAACGAUGCUCAGCAAGGACCAGAGCUCCUUUGCGGAGGACCACGGCCAUCCUCAGCAACAAAAAGGGGGAGAUGUAGAAGCCAUUGUAAUGUAGAAAAAAUUUUAAAACAUACUUCUGGUACUAAGCGUAUUUCUAACACUGUUCAAAGGUGAGACCCAGAGACACUGCCUGUUCCCAUGCUUAGGAAGCUACCAACUUGAACUUUGAUGCUCUGUGUGCCAACUUCGAGAUAAGUGUAGCUCGGCCAGGAAGGAAUGUUUCUCUUGCUUCCGAGUCCCAGAGAGUGACCACUGCAAGGACACCUCUGCCCGGUCUCAGUUUCGGAUUCUCCCCUUCUGUUGCACGACAGUAACCUCAUUUAGUUGCUGUUUCUGUAGGAGCGAAUUCUGCCCAGCAAUUAAUGAUAAAAGGGUAACCAACUGCAGGAUAUUAUGUAUCUGCCUUUUGUACUUCCUUUUGGAAACAUAAAUGACAGGAAACCUCCCAUCACUGCUGAUGAUUUGGAACUGAGGUUCCCCAUGGCCCGCUAGCAUAAUAAAGCUGCCUUCUCACA